rnacentral:lncRNA from 1 species
AUGCUCUUCCCAAAGGAAAAUGGACCAGGAGAGAACAACUUUUUGAGUGAGCACAACAUUUUCCGGGAAGACCUCAAGGCCAGAUUUCCUGGAGAAGAUCCAGUCUGGAGCCCAGCUCUCCUAACUCCAGGCCUGAUCAGGCUCACUCCAGAGAGUCAAAGGCUGCGUAUUGUAUGGAUGCAGAUGAUAAAAGUUCAAAGUUUCCAGCUAAAUGUCUGGAGAGAGAGAGAGAGAGAGAGAGAGAGAGAGAGAGAGAGAGAGAGACAGAGAGAGACAGAGAGACAGAGAGAAACAGAAGUGUUGAAAACCUGUUACAUCUAUAGACUUAAGUGUGUGUAAUUUCAUUUCAAACCAACAUUGUUUCUCUAACUCACAUACCCAAACCCCUGAGUAAAAUAUAUUUCUGCCAAAUUUAUUUUUACUUCCCAACAGGCCCAUUUAUGUACAAUUAAAUUGAUUAUCCAGCCAAUUCUCUUCCAUAUGAAAGCAGAAAACUGCUUUAGCUGGUGGUUUUCAUCUGUUAAUUGGAUUCUUACUUGCAAAGCCACAUCUUACUUUUUAUUUUUUAUUUUUUGCUGUUUAUUUUUCAUUUGGUAGAAAUAUGUGAAAAAGUGAUGUGAUUGUUUUAUUAAAAUAACUCAUUCUCCUAAAAAUAAAGCCUUUUAUAAUCAUUUCUCUUCAAUAUUUUCUAAAUUUCUCAGUUGACAGUGUAAAUAUAGACUCAAGUAAAGUCAUCCGCUAUUUGGAUUACUAAAAAAGAUGUAAUUCCAUUUUGGACUCCUUCUAUAUAAUGUCAAAGCAACUGAUCCAGUCAAUCUUUCACUAAAAUUUGUCCAUUGAAUUAAAGAAUAAUUUGAUUUUAUAGAGAUACAACUGUAAUCUUUAAAAUUACUACUUGGUGUAAUUCCAUCGGUAUUCUUGACUCCAUUUGGGUGGUAUGGGAAGAAUAGAAGGGGGAGGUAUAUUAGAGGCUGAGAGUUUUUAAUCUUAUCCAUUCUCCAUUUUUCUGUAUUUUUCUUUUAUGUAUCUGUUAUAAAAAACAAAAACAAGCUGUUUCUAAUUGGAAAUAUGACUCUCUGAAUAAAGACUACAUUUCCAAGCUUUCUUUGAAGCCAUAUUGAGUUCUCCAGAGAAACAGAACCUAGAGCAUACACACACACACGUAUACACACACACACACAAAUAUAUACACAUAUACACAUAUAUAGGUACAUGCACACAUAUAUACACACACAUACAUACAUGUGUAUAUAUGUGUAUA